UGGAAGACUCCGUUACAGAACCAGCUGGUGACAAUACCUUGCAGGCUGAGGCUGGGUUCUCUGGAACGCUGUGUAUGUGCCGAAUCAGCAUCCUGUGUGGGGUAGUAUCUCCCAGCAGCCAGGAUCCAUGGAUACAGGUGUCAAGGCGUGGGGAGUCUGUGCAUCGCAGUGUCCAGUGCUGACUCGGUGACCUGGCCUUUAAGUACCGGUCAUUUCACAUCCCAGUGUUUAAGCUACAGGGUUUUCCAGGUUUUCCUCCCAGCGGACGGGCAGCUUCAGAUGCUGUGUGUGCCACUUGGACGUCGCAGUGAAUUGAACGCUUAGAAGAAGAGUAAAGGGCACCCACGGACUUUUCUCCUCCUCCAGGGAAGAGGUGAGUUUUCAGGGAUACGCAGGGAAGCGGGACCAGGUUAGGUGAAAUUGUGACCUUGUUAGAUUGUUUUUCAUUGGAGAGGAAACGUGGUUUAAGGAGCGCAGUACGGGGGCCAGGCUGACACGGGUGGGUUUGUAAUAGGUGAAUGUAUGUGUCAACCUGACUGGAUCAGAGGAUACGCAGAAAUCUGUCUGAACGUCAUUUCUAGGUCUGUCUGUGAGGGUGUUUGCAGAUGAAAUUAGUAUGGGAAUCAGCAGACCUGGCGAAGCAGGCUGUCCUCUUCUCCGUGGCUCUGCGUUAUCCAGUCCAUCGAGGGCCUGAGUAGAAGAAAAAGGCAGAGGAGGGAGGAAUUCUCCCCUCCCCAGAUUUCUGCCUCGCUGCUUGAGCUGGGUCAUCUCACCUCAUCUGCUGCUGCCUUCAGCCUGGGGUUUUACCUCGUUGGCUCCUCUUGAUUCUCAGGCCUUUGGACUCUGACUGAAUUGUGCCAGUGGCUUUUCUGGGUCUCCCCUUUGCAGAUUGCACGUUAUGGGACUUCUCAGCCUCUGUACCCACACCACAUAAGCUAGUUCCUCAAAACGGAUCUUUCAUAUCCUCUUGGUACUAUUGUUUCUGAAGACCUCUGACUGAUAGAAACCUGGAGAUUUCUUCUGAAGGUUGUAAUUAUAAAUUUCAAUACUUGGGUAAUUAUCAGAUGAUUCAUCUUGGAUGAAGUUUCGUAGUUUCAAAUCGGUGUCGGGUAAUUCCGCUAUCUGUGUUAACUUCCUGUCGAUGUGGUGAU
rnacentral:lncRNA from 1 species